rnacentral:rRNA from 1 species
ACGAACGCUGGCGGCGUGCUUAACACAUGCAAGUCGAGCGGUAAGGCCCUUUCGGGGGUACACGAGCGGCGAACAGGUGAGUAACACGUGGGUGACCUGCCUUUAGCUCUGGGAUAAGCCUGGGAAACUGGGUCUAAUACCGGAUAUGACUCCGCGGUGCAUGCUGUGGGGUGGAAAGCCUUGUGCGGCUGGAGAUGGGCCCGCGGCCUAUCAG